rnacentral:lncRNA from 13 species
CAGGCCCCAGCCGCUUUGGGGCUCCACCAGUUUUCAGAUCUACUUGUGCCCCACUCACAUGGCUUCACCGAUCAUUACAGGGCAGCAACAGCUCAGCCUCGGCCUCCGACUGCCUGGGGCGGCUUCCUCGGGACCAGAAAAGGCUGCUCAGGGAAUUAAAUUCUGUAGAGCGGGACAGUGAGUUUAUAAGAGCUGAGUACACUUUAAACAGACUAAAUAAACAUUAAUAAGCUGUAAAGAGCAUGGACUUCAUGAGAAAAUAGAGGCCAGCCGACGAGUGGAAUUAAACAUACGGCAGCCUCAGCCAAGGACCUGGUGACGCAGCAGGUGCUGAGGGAGGAGGACUGAGCUCCCAGGUGACCAGCCAGGCCUGAGGAGCAGGGACCUGCCAGACCCAGCCCGCCACUGGCCCAGGGCUCCUGGUGGUGGGAACCUGGAAGCCCUUUCAGAUUCCAAGGCCUUUGCAUCAAGACCAACUUAAAAAUGAAUGCCCCAGUGAACCCUUCCCCGACCUCUAAGAAGAACAGAAGAAGAGGAAGGAAGAAGAAGCUGGAGGACAGUCAAGCCCCAAGGCACCCUAGGCGUGUAGCAGCCCAGGGCCGGUGACGCGAAGCCCUCAGCCUGCCUGAGACUCUCCUGGCCACUUGGCAGUGGCCUCUGGUAUAAUUUUCUCCCAGUGACUUAUUUUCUCUGUUGUUAGUUUCCUGGGGCUGCCAUAACCAUGUGCCACAAACUGGGUGGCUUAGACCAGCAGUCCACAACCUUUUAAGCACCAGGGAGCAGUUUCAUGGAAGACAAUUUUUCCACAGACUGGGGGUGGGGAGAUGGUUUUGGGAUGAUUCAGG